UAGGUCUCCAAACCCCUAAAAUUUGAAUAUAAAAAGGAAGGUGAUAUGUCAAAUCAAGGUCCGCACUUUUUCUAAUUCUAAAAUAUAUCUCACUUCCAAUCGCCAUUAGCUUGGACUUCAUCGUGUUUGUAGGUGCCACCAUUCCCUAACUCUGGACAGAACUUGGUGCACACCUUAAACUCUUGGUAAUCACCCCAUAUCAUACUUCUCUCACACCUGUGUAAACAA
rnacentral:lncRNA from 1 species